rnacentral:rRNA from 1 species
UACGAGGGGGGCGAGCGUUGUUCGGAAUUAUUGGGCGUAAAGGGUGCGUAGGCGGUUUGGUAAGUCUUGUGUGAAAUCUCCAGGCUCAACUUGGAGUCUGCACGAGAAACUGCCGGGCUUGAGUGCAGAAGGGGCAACUGGAAUUCUCGGUGUAGCGGUGAAAUGCGUAGAGAUCGGGAAGAACAUCAGUGGCGAAGGCGGCCUGCUGGGCUGUUGCUGACGCUGAGGCGCGACAGCGUGGGGGAGCAAACAGGG